rnacentral:rRNA from 1 species
AUUGAACGCUGGCGGCAGGCCUAACACAUGCAAGUCGCGCGAGCGGCGGACGGGUGAGAAAUGUAUGGGGACUGCCCGAUAGAGGGGGAGAACAACUGGGAACGGUGGCUAAUACCCCAUACUGUCGGAUAACCCAUCUGGGUUUAGCUAGUAGGUAAGGUAAGGGCUUACCUAGGCGACGAUCCCUAGCUGGUCUGAGAGGAUGAUCAGCCACACUGGGACUGAGACACGGCCCAGACUCCUACGGAGGCAGCAGUGGGGAAUAUUGCACAAUGGGCGCAAGCCUGAUGCAGCCAUGCCGCGUUGAUGAAGAAGGCCCUAGGGUUGUAAAGUACUUUCAGUCGGGAGGCGUUACCGACAGAAGAAGCACCGGCUAACUCCGUGCCAGCAGCCGCGGUAAUAC